GCACACUUUAGUUGUGGAAUGAAUGAAGUCGAUCAGAGUUUGGUGGUCGGGGUUGCCUGAAAGAGAGGAAAGAACGCGCAGAGGCAUAUAACCCCGUGGGAUUCCCAGGCUCGCGGCAAGCAGAGGGUCCUGAAGGCACCCCUGGCCGCCAUGGAUGAGCAGGAGCGGCAGCUCCAGUUGCGUCUGCAGGGGCUCCACCCCAGCACCGGCUGCUCGUCCGCACGGCGAUUGUGGCCGAGGUCGCGCGGGCUUCUCCCGUGGAGAAGCCAAAAGGAGCCAGGACUAUGUUAAAUGGGGUACGGUUUUUUCCUUCGCUCUUUCGAGUGUUUGAGCUGACGCUAUCUUGGUUUGAACCGACAAAGAAUCGCCAGAUGGAGUUUGGAUCUAGAAGUUGUUUCUAAAGGUAGCAAUUCUUCUUUCUUUCUUAUCAUGUUGGCAAAGUUUCUCAAGUUUGUGCAAAGUAAUUCCUGCCAGUUCUUCGCAAAAAUUGGAUCAUUCAUCCGA